CCUACGGGAGGCAGCAGUGGGGGAUAUUGCACAAUGGGGGGAACCCUGAUGCAGCGACGCCGCGUGGGUGAAGAAGCGCCUCGGCGCGUAAAGCCCUGUCAGCAGGGAAGAAAAUGACGGUACCUGAAGAAGAAGCCCCGGCUAACUACGUGCCAGCAGCCGCGGUAAUACGGAGGAUGCGAGCGUUAUCCGGAUUUAUUGGGUUUAAAGGGUGCGUAGGCGGGCUUUUAAGUCAGCGGUAAAAAUUCGGGGCUCAACCCCGUCCGGCCGUUGAAACUGGGGGCCUUGAGUGGGCGAGAAGAAGGCGGAAUGCGUGGUGUAGCGGUGAAAUGCAUAGAUAUAAGGAAGAACACCAGUGGCGAAGGCGGAUGACUGGACGGCAACUGACGGUGAGGCGCGAAAGCGUGGGGAGCAAACAGGAUUAGAUACCCCAGUAGUC
rnacentral:rRNA from 1 species